rnacentral:rRNA from 1 species
AGAACGAACGCUGGCGGCAGGCUUAACACAUGCAAGUCGAGCGCAUCCUUCGGGGUGAGCGGCAGACGGGUGAGUAACGCGUGGGGAUAUGCCCAGAGGUGUGGAAUAACUCAGGGAAACUUGAGCUAAUACCGCAUGAGCCCUUCGGGGGAAAGAUUUAUCGCCUUUGGAUUAACCCGCGUCAGAUUAGCUAGUUGGUAGGGUAAUGGCCUACCAAGGCGACGAUCUGUAGCUGGUCUGAGAGGAUGACCAGCCACACUGGGACUGAGACACGGCCCAGACUCCUACGGGAGGCAGCAGUGGGGAAUAUUGGACAAUGGGCGCAAGCCUGAUCCAGCCAUGCCGCGUGAGUGAUGACGGCCUUAGGGUUGUAAAGCUCUUUUAACAGGGACGAUAAUGACGGUACCUGUAGAAUAAGCCCCGGCUAACUUCGUGCCAGCAGCCGC